UUUUGGCUGCCAAAACUUCAUCUACAAUGUCAGCAUCAUGAAGGCGGAGAAACUCUUUCAGAAGAACGGACGUCCAACAAAUUUGACAUAGUUAAAGAAAUGAGAUUUAGGCAGUUUCCUAUUUGGCUCAAGAAUGUUUGGGGUUAUGGUCCGGGAACUGCAUCCUUAUACCUGUCACAUCCAUGUGUAUUAGUUGUACUCAUAGCUGCAUCUUUAUAACUCAUAAGUUACAUUUAGUUUGGCUUCAUAACUAAUACUUGAACUUUUGCUUAGUGGGAAGCAAGCCUUAACACAGUUAAUGAGCUGAAUGGAAAGGGAAUGUGGCAUGUGGUUCAUUCUCCUUUUCGUCUCCAUUUUUUUACUGCAAUUCUUGAUCUGAUGUGGAAUGGGGUUAGGAUAUAAGAUUGGUGGCAGAAUGAACAGUUCUUAGUUCAUAUAAUGAGGAUAGGGACUUUGCUGAGCUCUA